UCGUCAGCCUGGCCUUCGCUGCUCUUUACAGAAAGAGAGGAAUCUGUGCUUCAGAGAGACUGUUUUGAACUCUCUUACCCUGCCUGAGGGUAGUGGAGCCAGUAAUUCCAAUCCUUCCAUUGUCUCUCCUUCAGGGACACUCUGAAGUUCUUCAUUUUGUCAAAGGCAGAAACAAUCAAACCACUUCUUAGCUAAUAAAGCUAUUCACGGGGCCACCCACCUGAACUCAGCAGGAAACAAUGUUUUCGUGUGACUCGCCCAUUUCCACUUCGAUGGGAUAACCAAGAGAAAAGGAUAUGCACGGGUUCCUCUACCUGCCUCCUUUGUGAUGCUCAGGUAAUUACAUCACUUUUGGUCCUGGUGUGAAAAUGCCUGCCACAUACUCCAUCUGUCCGCAGAUUAAGACGUGCCUACACCCUAAGUGAUAAUGUUGUCUUAGAAAUUUAAAAGAUCAAGUGCCAUGUUGAAGGCAAGCAGGUAAAACUACUAAAAUGCAGAAAAAGAUUUGUGCAGUGGAGGACAAGGUGCUGUGGUGGAUUGAGUGUGCCCGAAGUGGUUUGCGAAGUUUCAUCCUGGAAAGUUCCUGCAGGACGAUGCUCCAUGGUCAGGUGGACCAGCUGAAGCUGAUGGUGAUCAAGUUGAGACAUUAAUUAAGAACAAGAGCCAACAUACUCAAAAU